UAGUCAUAGUUUUUGAGUCCAAAACCCCACAAAAGUACCCCAUGUCAGCACACCUAAAGUGUAUUCCUUUAUAAAAAAAAAAAUCAUCCCUCAAGGUUGAAGAAGCCAGCACAUCUCCACCAAGGCAGAUGGAACUUCAUUGAGGAUGCUGUAUAUCUAGACAAAGCCUUUUUUGUUGUCACUUCCUCUUUUAGAACACUGACUUCCACUCCAGUCAAGGAGAUGCUGUUCUGCUGAACAGUCUGACAACAGGCGUCAGCAUGAUCCUCCUGACUAUCUUAUCACUGUGGAUGACAGGAUCCACUCUUGCCACCAAUGUCAAUCAGACUCCCUCAGACAAAUUCAAGAACGCAAAUGAGACUCUUGAGCUCCAGUGCUUCCAUACCAUUCCAAGCUACAACAGGAUUCUGUGGUACAAACAGACUCAUGGUGGCACUCUGACCUUAUUGGGAUACAAUGUUGGGACAUCACCUGGUACUAUAGAGCCUGUAUUCAGUGGAAAAGUCAAAAUGGAUGGGGAUCCCAACACUAAUAAAAAGAACUCAUUAACCAUUUCUAAUCUGUUACUGAAUGACAGUGCAGUGUACUUCUGUGCAGCGUUUACACAGUGUUUCUGAUCACCUCCCUCUCAGCACAAUAACCCACCUCUUAUCUGCCGGCAAAACCUUGACACCUCAGACAACUUCACACCUGCAUAACGGCCCAAAACAAUGA